rnacentral:misc_RNA from 1 species
GAGCAAUAAAAUGCCACACCAAAAAGCUUGAUUCUCAAUUAGUUCUAAUGUGAUUAUUGAAUUGUUCAGUCUUUAAAGCUUCAAUGCCCCAUUUCCAUUCUGUUUUUUGAGAUGUUAGUGAUUUAGUAAGGUAGGUUAGUACGUAUGCAGGAGCCAGAAAGAAGUGGGGUUGGGGAGCUGGUUUAGGAUCAUGCGUACUGGACUGGUCUUUCCAAGAGAAAUGCUGGCCAUUAACCAGUCCAAAGACAUAAUCGGGUCCUUCUGAACCUCAGGUGAAUGCAUACUCCAACAGCAUCUUUUGGGAAGAUCAGCCUUAACGUGCAUUUACCUCAUAUUUUUAGUCUCAUUUCUAAAAUUUGAGUUAGCACUGAUCCAGAGCCAUAAUCAGGUCGUUAUGAGCCUCAGGUGAACGCAUGCUCAUCUUUUGGGAAGAUCAACCUCAACCAGUCACAUUAUUUAUCUCAUGUCUAAAACUGGAUACUCCAACAAGCAGCAAUUCAAGAAUCUGCCAACCAUAAAACUCAUCAUGCCUGGCGCAAUCUCCGCUGGAAAUUCGAGCUAAUGUAGCAUUUGCAAUUAAGGAUGCGCUGGUCGAGAAAACUGUAACUUAUGCAAGCAAUUCUUCCAACAUGAUUUUUGUAGUUGCUUGCACGAAUUACUUUUGUCAAAGGUCUGGUUUAAAUUACAGGCCAUUGGCUCCUCAGUUGCUUUUCAGAUCUAUAGCAUAGUUAAAAACCAACAUUUUUCAGCCAAACUUUACCAUCAUGAGCUCUUCUACUCUCAUAGAAAGAUACCACCACAGUUCACUGGUUAAUGAGGAACUUAAAGAACAACUCACAUUCUUCCAUGGAUUGAUGAACCAGAACAGAAACAGAUAGAAAACCCAGUGCUUGUGUUUUUGUUACCAAUAGUCAUUAAAAGAGCACAUCCCAUUUUUAAAUUGGUGAAAACGGUUUGAGUCUCUCACAACAAUUUCCUUAUGAAGAAGAUCUGAUGCCAACUUCAUGAAGCUGUGACAAUCUACACAUAUUCGGAUAUUCUUUAUGAUUUUUAUUACACUUCUGUCAUGAUGCAGACUACCCUCAUUCAUCAUAGCAAACACCAAAGCUAGCUUCUCACUAUGAUGAUACAACUGCUCCUCUUUAUGCUCCUCCUCUAUGUCAUGCAACGCCAAGCUUGUUUCCGGCACAUAGCCUCUCCCCUUUAGCUGUCCAAUCAGUAAAUCGAGCCUGGUGUGCAUAUAGCCUCUCUUUGAGGAUGGCGUCUGCCUCCAGAUGCAAACUCAUGCACUCUGUUCCCAAUCUCAAUCCAGCUUAAACCAGUUUCCUUUCUUACUCUAGAGCAUUCCAUUUCUCUCCUAAUUACCCCAGCUUCACUGUAACUCCCUCCAGAACAAUAAAUGUUAGACAUUUGUACAUAACCUAAUGAAUUUCUGGGCUCCAACUCUUUCAGUUUAUCUGCCACUAACUUGGCCAGUUGUGUCUCACCGUGCUUCCUACAUGAGCCAAGCAGCGCACUCCAAACCACAGAAUCAGGCUCCAUAGGCAUUUUGCUUAUUAGCACCUUUGCCUCAACAACUCGGCCAACUCGGCCAAGAAUAUCAACCAUGCUUGCAUAAUGAUCUAGUUGUGGAAAAAUACCAUGAGUAUCAAGCAUUGAAUCAAAGAUUUUGAUACCUUCUUCCACCAUUCCAGCAUGGCUGCAUGCUGAAAGGAGAGCAAUUAUAGUUGCAGAAUCAGGAUGAACAUUCAUUUCAGAAAAGAGAUGUAAUGCCUCCUUAGCUUGACCAUGCAGAGCAUAAGCCUUCAGCAUUGAGUUCCAAGAAACUAAAUUACGAAAUCUCAUUUCAUCAAAAACUUUCUGGGAUAAGGAAACGGAGCCACAUCUUGCAUAAGCAUGGAUCAAGGCAUUUCCAAGCACGGCAUCAACCACAAGCCCAGCUUUAAUUACUUGUGAAUGAACAGCGUAGGCAUGUCUCUCAGUGCCAAGACCUGCACAAGCUUUUAACACAAUUGAAAAUGUAUACCGAUCUGGAGCUAAGCCUUCCCUAUGCAGUUGACAGAAAAGGAAGAGGGCUUCUUCAGGCUGCCGUUCUGCAAAUGCUGUUAUAAUGCCAGUCCAUGAAACAAUAUCACGAAAACACCCUGUCUCCAAGAAAAGCCUGUGACAAUCAGUAACCUCUCCGCCAAGAUCUGAAUAGGCUUUCACCAACGCAGUUGCAACUUCAAUUUGCAACACCAAGGCACUUUUUAAUACUAAGACAGUGUAACAGAAAACAACACUUAAAGACCCACAUGCAAACUAUCACUGUAGCUUUCACUCAAGGAAGACAAGACACUGACCAGCGUGGCACGAUCAAACCCAAUUCCAUCACUGUGCAUUUGGCUAAAAAGACUUACAGCUUUUGACCCGAGUUUCCGGAGCUGAAACCCUGCAAUCACUGAAUUCCAAGAAACAAGAUUACGAAACUCCAUUGUCUCAAACACUGUCGAAGCUUCAUCUAUAUCUCCACUAUCACUGCCACUGCUAUUGUAACACCUACAAUACAUGGAAAUAAGAGCAUUUCCCACGUAAAUACUAGCACCUAAACCGAUUUUCAAAGCAAGCGCAUGCACCUGCUUGCCAUGCUCAUAGUCACCACAAGUAAGCACACUUGUAAAAGCAAAUUCAUUCGGCCUGCAAUGCAUUAGCAUAUCAGAAAACAAACGAGAGCACUCACAGGCCUGCCCUUGUUGCGCGUACCCAGAUAUCAAAGCAGUCCAAGAAACUAAGUUUCUUUCUGGCAUUUGAUCGAACAGUUGCCGCGCGUACUUCAAGUCCCCGCAUUUCGCAUACAUGUUUAUGAGAUGAUUGGUUACGAACACGCUUGGUGAGUAGCUAUGAUUAUGGGAAAGCAUGUGUUGGUGCAAGUACAUGCCUUCUUGAAGGUAUCCAUGGCGGGCACAUGCAUGAAAAAGAGUGGCGUAGGUUUGCUGGGAGUACGGUAGCGGAGGUGGUGGUGAUGCACUGAAGAAGAGGGAGAGCGCUUCGUCAAUGCGGCCGCACGCGGAAAGGAUACGCACCUCGUUGAGAAUGCCGUUAGCUUUGGGUUCUGUGCUGCUAGAUUGAAGAAGACUGCUGGAGGUGAAGGUUCGGAGAGUGAAAUCCCAGGCGCGUAUUUUUGGUAGUGACAUUAACAAAGCUGGUGUCCUAGCUAGCAUAGCAUGGCGUGCAGUCAUGCAAAC